rnacentral:rRNA from 1 species
UACGUAGGGUGCGAGCGUUAAUCGGAAUUACUGGGCGUAAAGCGUGCGCAGGCGGUUUUGCAAGCCGGAUGUGAAAUCCCCGGGCUUAACCUGGGAAUGGCAUUUGGGACUGCAAGGCUGGAGUGCGGCAGAGGAGACUGGAAUUCCUGGUGUAGCAGUGAAAUGCGUAGAGAUGUGGAGGAACACCGAUGGCGAAGGCAGCCCCCUGGGCUAACACUGACGCUCAUGCACGAAAGCGUGGGGAGCAAACAGG